GACGAACGCUGGCGGCGUGCUUAACACAUGCAAGUCGAACGAUGAACCGGGUGCUUGCACUCGGGGAUUAGUGGCGAACGGGUGAGUAACACGUGAGUAACCUGCCCUGGACUCUGGGAUAACCCCGAGAAAUCGGAGCUAAUACCGGAUAGGACCUUCUCCCGCAUGGGGGUUGGUGGAAAGUUUUUCGGUUUGGGAUGGACUCGCGGCCUAUCAGCUUGUUGGUGAGGUAAUGGCUCACCAAGGCGUCGACGGGUAGCCGGCCUGAGGGGGUGACCGGCCACACUGGGACUGAGACACGGCACAGACUCCUACGGGAGGCAGCAGUGGGGAAUAUAGCACAAUGGGCGCAAGCCUGAUGCAGCAACGCCGCGUGCGGGAUGACGGCCUUCGGGUUGUAAACCGCUUUUAGUAAGGAAGAAGGGGCUUCGGCCUUGACGGUACUUGCAGAAAAAGGACCGGCUAACUACGUGCCAGCCGCCGCGGUAACAC
rnacentral:rRNA from 1 species